rnacentral:misc_RNA from 1 species
GAUGAAGAACGCAGCGAAAUGCGAUAAGUAAUGUGAAUUGCAGAAUUCAGUGAAUCAUCGAAUCUUUGAACGCACAUUGCGCCCGCCAGUAUUCUGGCGGGCAUGCCUGUCCGAGCGUCAUUUCAACCCUCGAACCCCUCCGGGGGGUCGGCGUUGGGGAUCGGCCCUUUACGGGGCCGGCCCCGAAAUACAGUGGCGGUCUCGCCGCAGCCUCUCCUGCGCAGUAGUUUGCACACUCGCAUCGGGAGCGCGGCGCGUCCACAGCCGUUAAACACCCCAAACUUCUGAAAUGUUGACCUCGGAUCAGGUAGGAAUACCCGCUGAACUUAAGCAUAUCAAUAGCGGAGGA